ensembl:lncRNA
CAGCGAUGAGACAAGAUCGAUAAAAUAAAAUGGAUCGAUACUUGAAAAAGAAAAUGCUGAACAGAAAUAUAAACGCAACAUGUAAAGUCUUGGUUUAAUGAGCUGAAAUAAGACGCAAGAUUUUCCAGACGCACAAAAAGCUUCUCUCAAAUUGCGUGGACAAAUUUGUUUACAUCCCUGUUAGUGAGCAUUUCUCCUUUGCCAAGACAAUCUAUCCACCUGACAGGUGUGGCAUAUCAAGAAGCUGUUAAAUAGCAUGAUCAUUACACAGGUGCACCUUGUGCUGGGGACAAUAAAAGGCCACUCAAAUGUGCAGUUUUAUGUCACAACACAAUGCCACAGAUGUCUCAAGUUGAGAGGGAGUGUGCACGUGGCAUGCUAACUGCAGGAAUGUCAACCAGAGCUGUUGGCAGAGAAUUCAAUUUUUCAUUUCUCUACCAAGCUGCCUCCAACAUUGUUUUAGAGAAUUUGUCAGUGCGCCCAACCGGCCUCACAACCGCAGACUGCGUGUAACCACUCAAGUCCAGGACCUCCACAUCCGGCUUCUUCACCUGCGAAAUCAUCUGAGCCCAGCCACCCGGACAGCUGAUGAAACUAAAUAUAGGUCUAUAAUAAAUCCCAUUUAUGGGUAUAAACUCAAUGAUUGGCUGGGCCUCGUUCCCUAGUGGGUGAGCCUAUGCCUUCCCAUGGCUGUGCCCCUGCCCAGUCGUGAAAUACAAAGAAUAGGGCUUAACAAAUGUAUUUCAAUUGACUGAUUUCCCUAUUUGAACUGUAACUAAGUAAAAUAGUUAAUUGUUGCAAUUAUAUUUUUGUUCAGUGCAUUUGGAAAGUAUUCAGACCCUUCACUAUGAGACUCAAAUUGUGCUCAGGUGCAGUCGGUUUCCAUUGAUCAUCCUUGAGAUGUUUCUACAACUUGGAGUCCAUCGGUGGUAAAUUCAAUUGAUUGGACAAUAUUUGGAAAGGCACACACCUGUCUAUAUAAGGUCCCACAGUUGACCGUGCAUGUUAG